UCCAGACUCCUACGGGAGGCAGCAGUGGGGAAUAUUGCACAAUGGGGGGAACCCUGAUGCAGCGACGCCGCGUGGGUGAAGGAGCACCUCGGUGCGUAAAGCCCUAUCGGCAGGGAAGAAACAGACGGUACCUGACUAAGAAGCCCCGGCUAACUACGUGCCAGCAGCCGCGGUAAUACGUAGGGGGCAAGCGUUAUCCGGAUUCACUGGGUGUAAAGGGAGCGUAGACGGCGACGCAAGUCUGGAGUGAAAGCCCGGGGCCCAACCCCGGGACUGCUCUGGAAACUGUUUGACUGGAGUGCAGGAGAGGUAAGUGGAAUUCCUAGUGUAGCGGUGAAAUGCGUAGAUAUUAGGAGGAACGCCAGUGGCGAAGGCGGUCUGCUGGACAGCAACUGACGGUGAGGCGCGAAAGCGUGGGGAGCAAACAGGAUUAGAUACCCCGGUAAAA
rnacentral:rRNA from 1 species